rnacentral:rRNA from 2 species
GAUGAACGCUGGCGGCGUGCCUAAUACAUGCAAGUCGAGCGAACUGAUUAGAAGCUUGCUUCUAUGACGUUAGCGGCGGACGGGUGAGUAACACGUGGGCAACCUGCCUGUAAGACUGGGAUAACUUCGGGAAACCGAAGCUAAUACCGGAUAGGAUCUUCUCCUUCUCCUUCAUGGGAGAUGAUUGAAAGAUGGUUUCGGCUAUCACUUACAGAUGGGCCCGCGGUGCAUUAGCUAGUUGGUGAGGUAACGGCUCACCAAGGCAACGAUGCAUAGCCGACCUGAGAGGGUGAUCGGCCACACUGGGACUGAGACACACGGCCCAGACUCCUACGGGAGGCAGCAGUAGGGAAUCUUCCGCAAUGGACGAAAGUCUGACGGAGCAACGCCGCGUGAGUGAUGAAGGCUUUCGGGUCGUAAAACUCUGUUGUUAGGGAAGAAGAACAAGUACGAGAGUAACUGCUCGUACCUUGACGGUACCUAACAGAAAGCACGGCUAACUACUGCA